rnacentral:rRNA from 1 species
GGGGGGGGGGGGGGGGGGGGGGGGGGGGGGGAGGGCGGGGGGAGGGAGGGAGCUUGCGCCUGGAUUCAGGGGCGGACGGGUGGGUAAUGCCUAGGAAUCUGCCUGGUAGUGGGGGAUAACGUCCGGAAACGGGCGCUAAUACCGCAUACGUCCUGAGGGAGAAAGUGGGGGAUCUUCGGACCUCACGCUAUCAGAUGAGCCUAGGUCGGAUUAGCUAGUUGGUGGGGUAAAGGCCUACCAAGGCGACGAUCCGUAACUGGUCUGAGAGGAUGAUCAGUCACACUGGAACUGAGACACGGUCCAGACUCCUACGGGAGGCAGCAGUGGGGAAUAUUGGACAAUGGGCGAAAGCCUGAUCCAGCCAUGCCGCGUGUGUGAAGAAGGUCUUCGGAUUGUAAAGCACUUUAAGUUGGGAGGAAGGGCAGUAAGUUAAUACCUUGCUGUUUUGACGUUACCAACAGAAUAAGCACCGGCUAACUUCGUG